GGGCUGCUAGGUGCACUUGAGGACUUGUUGCGGCGCUUAUUUCUGCUUAGGGCUAGGGCUUUUUUUUGUUUUUUUGUUCUGGGCUAGAAUUUGUUUUGGGCCGCUUAUUUGUUAGGUUUGAACUAUUUUUUUUCUAUUCGGACCCAGGCCGAUUGGGCCUUAUUACAGCUGCCCCUCUUUACUCAUUGUCGUGUGACGGGAAUAGAGCAAAGACCUAAGGCCCAAUUGUGCCUGAGUCUUGAUUUCUUCAGCGCAAAAAUGGCUUCAAAUAGCUUUAUUCCUUCUUACUGCAUCUUCAUAGGUAUAGGAACUAGU
rnacentral:lncRNA from 1 species